GACGAACGCUGGCGGCGUGCUUAACACAUGCAAGUCGAACGGAAAGGCCCCUUUCGGGGUACUCGAGUGGCGAACGGGUGCGUAACACGUGCGUAACCUGCCCUUGACUUCGGGAUAACUUCAGGAAACUGGGGCUAAUACCGGAUAGGAAUCCUUGCUGCAUGGUGGGGGUUGGAAAGCUUCGGCGGUUUUGGAUGGACUCGCGGCUUAUCAGCUUGUUGGUGGGGUAGUGGCUUACCAAGGCGUUGACGGGUAGCCGGCCUGAGAGGGCGACCGGCCACAUUGGGACUGAGAUGAGGCCCAGGCUCCUAAGGGAGGCAGAUGGGGGGAAGAUUGAACAAUGGGCGGAAGCCUGAUGCAGCAACGCCGCGUGCGGGAUGACGGCCUUCGGGUUGAAAACCGAUUUCAGCAGGGGCGAAGCUUGUGGUGACGGUACCUGCAGAAGAAGCACCGGCUAACUACGUG
rnacentral:rRNA from 1 species